UACGGGGGGGAGCAAGCGUUGUUCGGAUUUACUGGGCGUAAAGGGCGCGUAGGCGGCCACCGCAAGUCGACUGUGAAAUCUCCGGGCUUAACCCGGAAAGGUCAGCCGAUACUGCGGGGCUAGAGUGCAGAAGGGGCAACUGGAAUUCUCGGUGUAGCGGUGAAAUGCGUAGAUAUCGGGAGGAACACCAGUGGCGAAGGCGGCUACCUGGACAAUUGCUGACGCUCAGGCACGAAAGCGUGGGGAGCAAAAGGG
rnacentral:rRNA from 1 species